rnacentral:rRNA from 1 species
UAGUUUGACUGGGGCGGUCUCCUCCUAAAGAGUAACGGAGGAGCACGAAGGUUGGCUAAUCCUGGUCGGACAUCAGGAGGUUAGUGCAAUGGCAUAAGCCAGCUUGACUGCGAGCGUGACGGCGCGAGCAGGUGCGAAAGCAGGUCAUAGUGAUCCGGUGGUUCUGAAUGGAAGGGCCAUCGCUCAACGGAUAAAAGGUACUCCGGGGAUAACAGGCUGAUACCGCCCAAGAGUUCAUAUCGACGGCGGUGUUUGGCACCUCGAUGUCGGCUCAUCACAUCCUGGGGCUGAAGUAGGUCCCAAGGGUAUGGCUGUUCGCCAUUUAAAGUGGUACGCGAGCUGGGUUUAGAACGUCGUGAGACAGUUCGGUCCCUAUCUGCCGUGGGCGCUGGAGAACUGAGGGGGGCUGCUCCUAGUACGAGAGGACCGGAGUGGACGCAUCACUGGUGUUCGGGUUGUCAUGCCAAUGGCACUGCCCGGUAGCUAAAUGCGGAAGAGAUAAGUGCUGAAAGCAUCUAAGCACGAAACUUGCCCCGAGAUGAGUUCUCCCUGACUCCUUGAGAGUCCUGAAGGAACGUUGAAG